rnacentral:rRNA from 1 species
ACGUAGGCAGCGAGCGUUGUUCGGAAUUACUGGGCGUAAAGAGUGCGUAGGCGGUGCUCUAAGUUUGGUGUGAAAUCUCCCGGCUUAACCGGGAGGGUGCGCCGAAGACUGGAGUGCUUGAGUGUGGGAGAGGAAAGCGGAAUUCCUGGUGUAGCGGUGAAAUGCGUAGAUAUCAGGAGGAACACCUGCGGUGUAGACGGCUUUCUGGACCACGACUGACGCUGAGGCACGAAAGCGUGGGUAGCAAACAGGAUUAGAUACCCUGGUAGUCCACGCCCUAAACGAUGCAUACUUGGUGUGGGCAGUUCAUUCUGUCCGUGCCGGAGCUAACGCGUUAAGUAUGCCGCCUGGGGAGUACGGUCGCAAGGCUG